AUUGAACGCUGGCGGCAGGCCUAACACAUGCAAGUCGAACGGUAACAGGAAGAAGCUUGCUUCUUUGCUGACGAGUGGCGGACGGGUGAGUAAUGUCUGGGAAACUGCCUGAUGGAGGGGGAUAACUACUGGAAACGGUAGCUAAUACCGCAUAACGUCGCAAGACCAAAGAGGGGGACCUUCGGGCCUCUUGCCAUCGGAUGUGCCCAGAUGGGAUUAGCUAGUAGGUGGGGUAACGGCUCACCUAGGCGACGAUCCCUAGCUGGUCUGAGAGGAUGACCAGCCACACUGGAACUGAGACACGGUCCAGACUCCUACGGGAGGCAGCAGUGGGGAAUAUUGCACAAUGGGCGCAAGCCUGAUGCAGCCAUGCCGCGUGUAUGAAGAAGGCCUUCGGGUUGUAAAGUACUUUCAGCGGGGAGGAAGGGAGUAAAGUUAAUACCUUUGCUCAUUGACGUUAUCCGCAGAAGAAGCACCGGCUAACUCCGUG
rnacentral:rRNA from 1 species